AACGAACGCUGGCGGCAGGCUUAACACAUGCAAGUCGAACGCUCCGCAAGGAGAGUGGCAGACGGGUGAGUAACACAUGGGAACGUACCCUUUACUACGGAACAACUCCGGGAAACUGGAGCUAAUACCGUAUGUGCCCUUUGGGGGAAAGACUUAUCGGUAAAGGAUCGGCCCGCGUUGGAUUAGCUAGUUGGUGGGGUAAAGGCCUACCAAGGCGACGAUCCAUAGCUGGUCUGAGAGGAUGAUCAGCCACAUUGGGACUGAGACACGGCCCAAACUCCUACGGGAGGCAGCAGUGGGGAAUAUUGGACAAUGGGCGCAAGCCUGAUCCAGCCAUGCCGCGUGUGUGAUGAAGGCCUUAGGGUUGUAAAGCACUUUCACCGGAGAAGAUAAUGACGGUAUCCGGAGAAGAAGCCCCGGCUAACUUCGUGCCAGCCGCCGCAGUAAGAC
rnacentral:rRNA from 1 species